UAUUAUUUAAAAUUUUAAUUGUCUAAAAUGAGUGCCACAUUACACAAUUACAGGAAAUAAAGACAUUUAAAGUGAUAUUUAUUCUCACUUUCCACUGACUCUUGUAUUGUUAUUUUCCCCUGCUAGAGAGCAAACAUUUUACCAAAUUACUAAAAAUGAUACAAUUAUGCUUAAUAUGAUUCCUAUGUGAUCAGAAACUGUCAUGAUGGUCAGUGAUUAAAGUUAACAUGAUGGUUUAUGUUACAGAGAAAUGUGCACAUUGAUGCAUUUCUGUCUGGUGCAGAAGUCAACAAAUUUUUCUUUCAUGUUGUAUAGUGGAAGUAAUAUGUGGACAUGAAAACCGAUCAUCAGAAAAUUCCUUUGCUAAAUCAGUCUGGCCUCAAAAUAAUAAUAACAAUAAUAAACUUUAUUUAUAUGGCACCUUUCCAAAACACUGCUGCUUCAGAAAAAACAAACAGUGAUGAGUUAUCUGCCGCCAGUUGAGCCUUAAUAUUAUAAAAAAAAUUACCCGUCAGCAACCAAAGCAUUUUUUAGCAGAUUGAUUGAGGCCAUAUCAAACAGGCAUGAUAAUGGCUGCUGUGAUAAGGUCUGACCCUGUGGUACCCUGGUACAUUAAUCCAGCUCCAUGGCACAUAUUCAGGUUUCCAUGGGGAGCUCUUUCCACUUCACCACGCACAGCCGACGUUUUUCCACUGCAAGAACCGAGGAUAUCUCACAAUUUACUCACUUAUCUAAUCUGUACACUGAAAAAAAAAACCCACUCAAAUACCAAAAUGUUAGAGUUUAGUAGAUUAGGUAUCUUGCGAUAGUGGAAAUGUUUUUCUGAUUAUUUGGGAGGUAUGAGGAUAGAAGGGGCUCAUAAUCAAGACCUAUAUAUCAAGAUAAAGACAUUUAUGUAUAACAGUAAUAGUUGCUGCUGCAUGUCUGAGAUACAGUGGCAGCCCAAUGCAAAAUAAUGAAAUAACAAUAUAAAGCAUGCAUAAAAUGAUCUGACUGACUAACUAACCUAACUAAAAUAACCUGUGCACAGUAAGCUGUACAGUCAGAUCUGUAACUCUGCACUGACUCUUCUCUAAUCUUUCAACAAAUUGGAUCGGUCAACAAACCUAAUACACAAACCAACCAAUAAAUAACCCUGAACGGAUCUAUCAUGAGCUUUAUGUACUAAGAGGCUUUCAGGGCUUUUUAGGUGUUCACAUAUAUACACCCAAACACACAGAUAAUCAAAUGUUACACCCAGAAACAUCCCAGGAAAAGCAGUACACAAACAUAUGGUAAAGUACUGACCAAAGUCCACACACACAUGCGCACUCCCGUCGCCAUGGAUAUUCUAUGAAGAAAUCUUUACUGCAUUUAGUGUCAGCUAGGAUGUACGAGUUGCAAAUUUGGAUCUGCUUUGACCCUUGUUGGGAGGUCAAACACCUCUUAGUUUUGUUGUGGACAUUUUGCAGAACGCAUCCACUUUUAGGAAAACACAAGUGUGCAAGAACAGCAGGCUAUUUGGUUGCAUUACAAUUCAACAUCCGGCAUGUGCAAGUUAUACCCACAGGAUUCAGUUGUUUCAUGUCCCACUGGCAGUGGCAACAAACAAUGCCUGCUGGCAGCUGCAGCCUCCUGGCAGCUGGUUCCUUCUGCUCAGUACAGGGUUAAUUAUAUCCAGCUUCAAUGCCCAGCAUAGACGCACUUUUAGCUCUCGAAAUCACAGCGGCAGUGAUGUUGACAGCAGCCCUGACUGUGAGUCACCUGUUUUGCUCGCAGAGGUAGGCUACUUCACUUCUGCUCUGGUCAGACCAGCGAGCGAUGAGGAGAAGACUUGUGAGAGUGUGACACACGGCUGCACACAUGACAGCAGGGCCAAACGUGGCUCGCUGAAGAGGAACAAGCACGAUGAAUCACAAAGAGGACGACAGUUGGGGCAGGCCACUCACCCCACCCACUGACUGGGUGGCCUUCUCUGUCUUGGUGCCACACCAGUUGGGGUUAAAGAGCAUGACACACUCCAGCAAGCGAAUAAUCACCUGCAGCCAGCAAGGACUCAAAUAAUUCACGUCAACACUGCUGACAAAUAAACCCACUGCAUGCUGAUGACCUGGUGCCUUUACUGCUGUUGUUAAAUUAAACUCAUCUUCACAUUUCUCUUCUUCUGCAAACAUUUUUUAGUCUUCUAGGAGAUGGAGGGCUGUGGUCAAAAUGCAACACAGCUGCUGAGGCAGUUAUGCUUUGGCUUUUUCCUUCUGCGAGACACUGAGCCAAAAGUCUGACCAUCUGUUUUGUGUUAGCCUAAGAUAUACAGGUUGCUAUAUUGACAUGCCUCAGCAAGGAGUCUUUUGAAGUUAAAUGAGGUAAUAGAUGCAUAAAAAUCUUAAGAAAUCCAUUAAGGUUAUCAUAUUUCACUACAAAGAUGUUGUUCUGUGCCUUGCAACCAUGACUUCCUUUGUCUGAAUCCAGCCAGAGCUUCAGCAUAGGUUUAUGUCUUCAACCAUCUUUUUCUUCCUGUGUUUCCUUUUUUUUUUGUCAAAAACAUUGUUCUUUUAAAAAAGUGUAAUGAAAUAGCCUCCAAACCAAAUACUUUCUUUUAAAUUUAAGUUACUUCUAUCGCAUUGAGAAGAUAUCAGACAAGACAUACAAUUGCACAUUCAACGCAUCGUCUUUCAAAGGUGAAUAACAUCAGCAUAUAGAAGACACCAGCUGCCACAUGCAGACUACCGCUUUGAAGACAGAAAAGCUUCAAAAAAGGGUGAUUUUGGAGGAGCUUAAAGCAACAUUCUCACUUUUCUGCACACAGUAGUGACAGCUGAGUGCAGUCAGACUCCAGCCUCAGCUGCCACGGUCCAUCCGUCAUGAUCACUGGCCUUCAGGAUAUUUUUCUCCGGUUUUCAAUUUCAAUAAUUACAGGCAAAAUAAUGCCUUCUUUAAAAGUAAAACCAAGGGCACAGAAUAAACAUCAGCAAUGCCAAGGAAACAAUUCACCACACUCUGAAAAAUGAUAUUCUGUUUUGUAUGGCUAUCUGUGAAGGGGGAAAACAUCUCUGAGCCACAGUCCAAAAGACUUCAUCUUAUUAGGUGGGAGAGAAUCUCUGGCCAGUUGGAGAGAGGCUACAGAUAGUGUUAUUAUGAAAAUCAUAACUCUUUUUACAGUCUUUUAAUUUUUGCCUUCUGGUGAAAAGUAUAUGACCUGGUUUGUGAUCUUAACACAUUGUGGUUAACACAAUUUGCUUUCUCUAAAUUUCUUCUCCUGAUUGAACUGACUGAGUUUUGUUACCCCGUCACCUCAUUGUAACUAUCAUGAACAAAUUAACAUAUACAGUAUAUUCCUAACCUCUCCUCCAGAUUUGUGUCAGCUGUUGUCCCCCCACCCCCCCCCCCCACACACACACACACACACACACUGUUUUCACUGUGGGAUCUUUGCCUGUGGUCAACAUGCAUCUCUUCAUUGUUUCCAUGAGGGAGCUGUCAGAAUGGAUGAACCCAACUAUCACUGAUGAAGCAAACUGAACAUUAUAGUUUGACAUUGGUCUGUUUAAAGUCAUUGUAGUUUAAAUAAAGUGAGCCUAUAUAUGUUUAAAUGUGGAAAUUUGGUUAAAAAAAAAAAACCUUGGGGGAAAAAUCCAAAUCAACAAAACUCGUCAUUUUUAUUGACCAAAUGUUACAGUUCCACUGUUACAUCCUACAAAAUACAAACAAACAAGUUUGUUCAUACAAGCACUGCUUGUAAUUGUUUACACAACCUAUGGGUCUUGAUGCAGAUUGAUAAAUGAACGAUCCACUGACUAUGGCAAAGUGGUUCUUCACAAACUCACAACCUACAGCUUCAAUGCCCAAUUACAAAAAAUAAAUAAAACAUCAAAAGGCCUUUCUUUUAAUGGUUUUCAUGUUAGUAAACUGUCCUCUGACUAGGCUGCAAACCUUAUCGACAUGCUGCCCCCUAGCGGAACAAACAAACUCCUGCAAUUUACUCUCUCAAGAAAUUGUACACCAUCAUCACACAGAGAAGGUGAAGUUUCAUGCUGUAAGAAGAGGAAAAGGUCGCAGCCAUGUAAAUGACAGCUUGCCCUGCAUGUAAACAGGCCUCAUCAUCAUUCCUAAAACAUUACUCUGCUUGACACAGUCCACACAUUAACCCUGUGGUGUAACCACCAACACACAUAAAAAGCAGAUGCUCACUAGCACAGAAAGCAUCCCAGUAGAUCAUAUUAAUAGGAAACGGUGUAACAGUGAUAAAUACUGCAAUCCAAUCCCUGGUGAGCAGAAGCAAAUUUGAGUUUGAUUUAAAAUAAAUACUGGGUUUUGACAUCCAACAGAUAAAGCAACAAAGUGGACAUACUAUAUGCGGAGAAACUACUUCUGAAAAUGCUACACAUUUCAGUCAGUUAGUAUCCAGUCGUACAUGAAAAAUAUCUGCACAAAUUCACUGUUUUUACUUGUUUUAAGUCUCCUAGUGAUACACAUCACAAAAAGAAAAGAUAGUUACCAUUUAGCCAUUUAAGACACGCAGAACUGACUACAAAAUACAGCAAAACCCUUGAUAUGAAUACAUAAGAAAUAAAGUCUGCAACUUGCCCUCCCUCUUCAAACUCUGAUCGCUCAUUCAUAUAAAUACUGUCAAGCAGGAUCCACAUGGUGACACUGGGAUGAUGUAGAUCUAGAUGACAGGAAAAUGACAUAAGGCUAACUCUUGAGUUGAUCAUCCUGAAAUGGCUCAUUAU